rnacentral:rRNA from 1 species
UAUCCUGUCUGAAUAUGGGGGGCCCAUCCUCCAAGGCUAAAUACUCCUGACUGACCGAUAGUGAACCAGUACCGUGAGGGAAAGGCGAAAAGAACCCCGGCGAGGGGAGUGAAAAAGAACCUGAAACCGUGUACGUACAAGCAGUGGGAGCACGCUUAGGCGUGUGACUGCGUACCUUUUGUAUAAUGGGUCAGCGACUUAUAUUCUGUAGCAAGGUUAACCGAAUAGGGGAGCCGAAGGGAAACCGAGUCUUAACUGGGCGUUAAGUUGCAGGGUAUAGACCCGAAACCCGGUGAUCUAGCCAUGGGCAGGUUGAAGGUUGGGUAACACUAACUGGAGGACCGAACCGACUAAUGUUGAAAAAUUAGCGGAUGACUUGUGGCUGGGGGUGAAAGGCCAAUCAAACCGGGAGAUAGCUGGUUCUCCCCGAAAGCUAUUUAGGUAGCGCCUCGUGAAUUCAUCUCCGGGGGUAGAGCACUGUUUCGGCAAGGGGGUCAUCCCGACUUACCAACCCGAUGCAAACUGCGAAUACCGGAGAAUGUUAUCACGGGAGACACACGGCGGGUGCUAACGUCCGUCGUGAAGAGGGAAACAACCCAGACCGCCAGCUAAGGUCCCAAAGUCAUGGUUAAGUGGGAAACGAUGUGGGAAGGCCCAGACAGCCAGGAUGUUGGCUUAGAAGCAGCCAUCAUUUAAAGAAAGCGUAAUAGCUCACUGGUCGAGUCGGCCUGCGCGGAAGAUGUAACGGGGCUAAACCAUGCACCGAAGCUGCGGCAGCGACGCUUAUGCGUUGUUGGGUAGGGGAGCGUUCUGUAAGCCUGCGAAGGUGUGCUGUGAGGCAUGCUGGAGGUAUCAGAAGUGCGAAUGCUGACAUAAGUAACGAUAAAGCGGGUGAAAAGCCCGCUCGCCGGAAGACCAAGGGUUCCUGUCCAACGUUAAUCGGGGCAGGGUGAGUCGACCCCUAAGGCGAGGCCGAAAGGCGUAGUCGAUGGGAAACAGGUUAAUAUUCCUGUACUUGGUGUUACUGCGAAGGGGGGACGGAGAAGGCUAUGUUGGCCGGGCGACGGUUGUCCCGGUUUAAGCGUGUAGGCUGGUUUUCCAGGCAAAUCCGGAAAAUCAAGGCUGAGGCGUGAUGACGAGGCACUACGGUGCUGAAGCAACAAAUGCCCUGCUUCCAGGAAAAGCCUCUAAGCAUCAGGUAACAUCAAAUCGUACCCCAAACCGACACAGGUGGUCAGGUAGAGAAUACCAAGGCGCUUGAGAGAACUCGGGUGAAGGAACUAGGCAAAAUGGUGCCGUAACUUCGGGAGAAGGCACGCUGAUAUGUAGGUGAAGUCCCUUGCGGAUGGAGCUGAAAUCAGUCGAAGAUACCAGCUGGCUGCAACUGUUUAUUAAAAACACAGCACUGUGCAAACACGAAAGUGGACGUAUACGGUGUGACGCCUGCCCGGUGCCGGAAGGUUAAUUGAUGGGGUCAGCGCAAGCGAAGCUCUUGAUCGAAGCCCCGGUAAACGGCGGCCGUAACUAUAACGGUCCUAAGGUAGCGAAAUUCCUUGUCGGGUAAGUUCCGACCUGCACGAAUGGCGUAAUGAUGGCCAGGCUGUCUCCACCCGAGACUCAGUGAAAUUGAACUCGCUGUGAAGAUGCAGUGUACCCGCGGCAAGACGGAAAGACCCCGUGAACCUUUACUAUAGCUUGACACUGAACAUUGAGCCUUGAUGUGUAGGAUAGGUGGGAGGCUUUGAAGUGUGGACGCCAGUCUGCAUGGAGCCGGCCUUGAAAUACCACCCUUUAAUGUUUGAUGUUCUAACGUGGACCCGUGAUCCGGGUUGCGGACAGUGUCUGGUGGGUAGUUUGACUGGGGCGGUCUCCUCCUAAAGAGUAACGGAGGAGCACGAAGGUUGGCUAAUCCUGGUCGGACAUCAGGAGGUUAGUGCAAUGGCAUAAGCCAGCUUGACUGCGAGCGUGACGGCGCGAGCAGGUGCGAAAGCAGGUCAUAGUGAUCCGGUGGUUCUGAAUGGAAGGGCCAUCGCUCAACGGAUAAAAGGUACUCCGGGGAUAACAGGCUGAUACCGCCCAAGAGUUCAUAUCGACGGCGGUGUUUGGCACCUCGAUGUCGGCUCAUCACAUCCUGGGGCUGAAGUAGGUCCCAAGGGUAUGGCUGUUCGCCAUUUAAAGUGGUACGCGAGCUGGGUUUAGAACGUCGUGAGACAGUUCGGUCCCUAUCUGCCGUGGGCGCUGGAGAACUGAGGGGGGCUGCUCCUAGUACGAGAGGACCGGAGUGGACGCAUCACUGGUGUUCGGGUUGUCAUGCCAAUGGCACUGCCCGGUAGCUAAAUGCGGAAGAGAUAAGUGCUGAAAGCAUCUAAGCACGAAACUUGCCCCGAGAUGAGUUCUCCCUGACCCUUUAAGGGUCCUGAAGGAACGUUGAAGACGACGACGUUGAUAGGCCGGGUGUGUAAGCGCAGCGAUGCGUUGAGCUAACCGGUACUAAUGAACCGUGAGG